rnacentral:rRNA from 1 species
UGCGUAGGCGGUAAUUUAAGUCAGAUGUGAAAUCCCCGGGCUUAACUCGGGUGUUGCAUUUGAAACUGGGUUACUAGAGUGCAGGAGAGGGAAGCGGAAUUCCUAGUGUAGCGGUGAAAUGCGUAGAUAUUAGGAGGAACACCAGUGGCGAAGGCGGCUUUCUGGACUGUAACUGACGCUGAGGCACGAAAGCGUGGGGAGCAAACA